ensembl:snRNA
GUGUUAUAUGUAAAAAGAGGAGUUUAGAACAUCCCUUGACAAAGAUGGAAGAAGCCCUUUACAACAUGCUUAUUGUUAUCUUCUCUUACAAAAAUGUGCAAUAUGGAAGUGUGUUUU